CCCCGCCACGGUCCUCGCCCCAUCCGCCGCUCUCGUGCGUGUGUGUGCGCGCGCACUAGGCGCCAGGCACGCGGAAAGGUCGUCAGCUCUACUUUGUUGCCAACGCAACAUCAGGUUUUGGCUCUGCCGCAGUGACAUCACUGCACAGCACUGCCACCACCACCUUGUUUUUGCUCGGUGGACCUCAAAGGUUGAAGCCCGCGACACUCUUCUGGCCGCAACAUAGUCUGCACCCAGGCUCACCGACCCAGACCACCCAGUGGUGUGCGACCCUGGCCUUUGAUAAAGUUGUUGUGGUGCUGCUUGGGCCAGAGUGCUAAAUCACCAAAGGUGCAACCCCUUGGUGCACAUAAAUGUGCAGCUCAAUGGCAAAUAUGGCCAACAUGGACGAAGGCCUGACAGACCACCAACUCUGAAUCUUCCCUUUGGGUGAUUGUGUGACACUGGGCGAUGGAUUUAUGCUCUGGAUCUCCUUUGUCCUUCUGUAAAAUGGAGUUGCUAUCAUGGCUAUCUUAUAGGACUGUGGUGAGGACACACACGACAGUGCAGUAAGCCCCAGGUCAGUGGCUGACUCCCCUUGGAGGGUAUGCACUUGUUAUUCAUCAAAAACAUAGCCAGCUUGAGGCCAUGUUUGUGCUGUUUUAUCUUGGGGCUCUUCUCAAAUCUAAACGCCCGCUUUAACCACUCCUGUGAACUACCCAGCCAGGUAUGUUGGGUUCCUCCUUUGCUCCACUCUCCUGAGAUCCCAUCCAGAGAAGACAUUAGAAACCAGAGGCUGUGGGUUAAGGCUUAUUACCUCCCUUGGUACUGUAGGAAGGCCACAUGCCCUCCCUGAGACUCCCUGAACACCCCCUGCCGCACAGGCUAUGAUGGAUAGCUCAGUAGACAAGAUGUUUUUAAGGUAAGCUUGUGAAUAGGAUACAUAGAUAUCACUCAAGGAACUGGAUGCUGAUGUCUGGGGCUCCUGUCCUUGCCCUACCCCCACCCCAGCCAGGUUUCCUGAGCACAUUUGGAUCCUGCAGUUCUGUGGUGUUGCUUGUUCCACAGGACCUUCCAUACCCUGCCUUGACAGUAGGCUUUGAGAGCAAAGACUAUGUUCUAUUGCACCUUGAAUUCUCAUCACCAAGCAAAAUGGCUGACAGGCAGCCUAACUGACACUCAUUCAGUCUUUGUUAUCAAUAUAAGACAGCAGGAGGCUAUAGAAUAGGUACUUCUCUGGGCCUCAGUCUUCUCAUGGCUUGGAUUGAAUGUGAUCUCUUAGGAUGCCCCUGGUCCUAGCAAUCCUUAGGCUGCAAUUACUCUUCAUCUGGUCAUGGUCUAGUGUGUUUUUACAUCCCACGUGUGCUGGAUAGCUUUAGGCCAACUU
rnacentral:lncRNA from 1 species